rnacentral:rRNA from 1 species
CCUACGGGAGGCUGCAGUGGGGAAUAUUGGACAAUGGGGGCAACCCUGAUCCAGCCAUGCCGCGUGUGUGAAGAAGGCCCUCUGGUUGUAAAGCACUUUCAGUGAGGAAGAACGCCUGGUGGUUAAUACCCAUCAGGAAAGACAUCACUCACAGAAGAAGCACCGGCUAACUCCGUGCCAGCAGCCGCGGUAAUACGGAGGGUGCGAGCGUUAAUCGGAAUUACUGGGCGUAAAGCGCGCGUAGGUGGCUUGAUAAGCCGGUUGUGAAAGCCCCGGGCUCAACCUGGGAACGGCAUCCGGAACUGUCAAGCUAGAGUGCAGGAGAGGAAGGUAGAAUUCCCGGUGUAGCGGUGAAAUGCGUAGAGAUCGGGAGGAAUACCAGUGGCGAAGGCGGCCUUCUGGACUGACACUGACACUGAGGUGCGAAAGCGUGGGUAGCAAACAGGAUUAGAUACCCCUGUAGUC